GGUGGUCGUAGCUCAGUUGGUUAGAGUGUCAGAUUGUGGUUCUGAUGGUCGUGGGUUCGAGUCCCAUCUUCCACCC
rnacentral:tRNA from 1 species